AAUUUAUCUUCAUCGAUUCCUGUUUUUUUAUUUUAUCCUCAACUUAUAGCUUUCAAUUUCGUCUUGAUUGAAGGUAAAAUUCUUGAGUUGUUUUUGAUUACCCAAAUGGUGCCACGAAGAAGAAAAAGGCACAGCCGAGCGACGAUGGUUCGGCCAGUGACCUUGUCGUCGUUUGCUCGAUCAGUUGCUCAUCUUGCUACAGCUUACACAAGCAAGCGUCAAAAGCUUGACGUGAAACUAAAAAGAUCUCUGCCCAGGGCACCAGCUUCAUUUUGCGUUGGGAGAUGGAUUUGUUAAGCAGUCACCAGAAGAGAAGAGUAAAGAAUCUGAGUCUUCUGAGGACGAAGAGUUCCAAGAUAAUAAAUGUAUCAUGGAGAUCAAGGAGUUCCUCAUCAAAGUUUGUUAGGACAGAAAUGUAAUGGAUGAUUUCAAAUUAAUUUGGGAAGAGCAAGCACAUGAUGUAGGUCUCUUGGUCUCUUAGCGUGUUGCCAAUCUUCCUCCCCAACUUUUACCACCUCUUUAUGAUGCUUUCUUCAAUGAAGUUUCAUGGGCUACAGAAGAUGAGAGGAGCUCAGGAAUGCUUUCUGCUUCAAGUCCUAUUCGAUAGUUGGUAAAAUUUACAAGCACAAGAAUGCAAGCCACAAAAAGGGGGGAAACAGUCAUAAUGACGAAUUGAUAAUAUAUAUUAAGCUUGAAGAUGAAUUUUUUCAUAAGGUACAGAUUCUCUGAUAUCAUUUAUAUAAUGCAUUAUGUUUAUGCUUUCGCUGCUUCUUACUCAAUUCACUGAUUGUUUUCCAAGUGCAUUUCAGCUCUGCUUGUGGUCCUUCUGUUUUCCUUUGCACUCGGAUCAUGUGACAACACAUGAGGCAAGUAAUGUUGCUGUUAUUUUAAUGAUGCUGUAUUGGCGAUUCACAAGAUAAUUUCAAUUUCAAACUGAAUGCCAGUGAUCAGAUGAAGUUAUUGUUGAAAUCAACAGGACUUCUACUUAUAAACUUUGUCUGUUUUUAACUUAAUAUUUCCAGUAAAACCCAACAACCAUGAACUCAGACUACAUAGAUGUAAGCAGCAUUUCACUGUGUUAUUUCACUUAUGUUCUGCAGAGCAAGAGCAUUCAUAUGUUUCUAAAGACAUGCCUCUCCUAUUGGUUUUAUUGCAGUCAAAAUCUAUCCUUUUUUUAGAUGAAAAUAUUCUGCUUUUAUUCAUGCUUUUAAAAUGACAAAAAGAAUUGUUGCUGAUUCAUUAUGGUUUGCCAGGGUCUUUAUGCCACCUAUGGCUUCUGCCUAGGAUGUUAAUCUUUUUGGUUUUGAUUGCCUUUGCAGCUAAGAAAUUACAGGUUAAUGGGGUUAGUCAUGGUUGUUGACGCCAACAAAAUUUCUAUUUUUCAUGAGGAGUUGCACUCUUUGAUUAAUGAACCCUUAAGUCCUUUUGAAGGUGCAUCAACUUCCAAGUUAAUAGCCUCCUAAUUUUCUUGUUUGACAUAUUUGCUAAAAUUUGUUCAAUUUUGUAAUGAUAAGUUGAUCGUCACCGUAUUUAUAGGUUUUAUGGGUUACCAAAGUUUUGAUUUCUUCCUUUACCAGGAGCAACUAAUCGGGUUUGAGGAGGAAUCCUUUUUGCAUUUACAAUAUCCAUCCAACCUUUUAUGAAACAAGUUUAUGGAAUCUUAAAAAUUAACUUUUUAGAUAGGUACGCUAAUAUUUAUUUGUUGGGAUUCUUCUGUGAUUCAAGUUAUUUUCUUUCCCUUUAAUCUAGCUUUUUAUUUUCCUGUUUUGCGCAACCAUCAUGUAUUCACUUUAUCAUGAAGUGACUAUGAAGUCAAUGAUUGCUGGCAAAAAUCUUUAUCAGCAUUGAUAUUCCUGGACGAACAUCUAAUGGCUCUAGUCCAGUUGGCUGGUACCCUAAGUCUCGUGGCUUUGGCAAGAAAAAAGAGAAGUACUCUACUGUCUCAGUUGGAUACUCUCUUUUUUUUUUUAGCACAUCAAAAAUUUUUUAUAAGGGUAAAAGCUGCGUACAUCAAUAGCUCACAAGUGUGCGAUACAUGGUGCAUUGGGUCAUUUGGGUCACUUUUUUUUCAAAUGACUAUUGAGAUUUGAACACAUUAGACCACCAUUGGACUACUAGUACGAUCAGUCCCGCCUAUUGCGACUACCACCAGUGCCAAUAUAAUGAGGAUGUGGUCUGUCUCAUUGACUUGAGUUGCUGAUAAUUCUGCUCAGUUCGGCCUCAACCUAUUUUUAUUCAACAAAGGUCCAGAAUUUUCGGGUUAUGCCGUGAAUGCUUGUAGGCUGUCAGCUUCUAAAUUCUAGGCAUUCCAAAUGAAAUAACCAGACACCAGCACUUCUAUAACUGAAACAAUGGCAUGGGUCUAAUCAGAGAAGUGCUGAUAAAUGCUGUAAGGAGUGAUUCAUUAGAUUCAAUCACUUUAGUAUAUCUAUUAACCCUUCUUCGUUGCAUCUCCAAAGAGAUGAAAACCCAUUUCUUCAAAUCAUUCAGUUGCUUUUAGGCAUGUGAGAUAGAAGGCAUUGAAAUUAAG
rnacentral:misc_RNA from 1 species